CCUCAUUGUGAGUGUUUCUAACAUUAUAGCGUUACAGAAAAGUUAAAAGAAAUUAAAUAAGUUAUUCGAUCCAGAAGCUACAACCUUUUCGUUGUAAACUAGGAAAUGUUGUAAAUUUCCUCAACCAACCACCUAUUGGGGAUCGCGAUCUAGGCCUCCUCAUCGAACAUUGACGUUCUAUCCUCUCCCAAAUCUUGAAAAUCGUGAGUUGCAACCAUUUCAUCAAAACUGCUGCUAUAGAAUUUCAAGAUAUUGAUCUUUGUGAAACACAGACAUUAAAAUGUACUAGAACAACCAAGAAGCAGAGGACUACAACAGCAAAAACAAAAAAGAAUAAUUCAACAGGGGAAAUGCUAUUUUGGAGGAGAAAGAAGGUUUUGUACUUUUCUCUCUUGCUCCAUAUUCAUCUGAUGAAAACUCACGCUUUCAUACAAAGUGAUACAACAGAUUUAUUGGUAUUAUCCAUCGAAAUGCGGAAAAAUUAUCCGUAAAAACAAAAUUUUCUUUAAUUCAAGAUCAUUUCUAGAUGUUCACGUUAUGGUAAAAAUAAAAUUAUGCUAUUUUUGUAAACUAAUGUAACGAGGUCUCAUAAUUUGAGUAGGCAG
rnacentral:lncRNA from 1 species